GGUUGGCGCUUUUUGGGGGAGGCCUACGUUCAGCAGUGGACGGCAAUAGGCUGAGAUGAUGACGAUGAUGAUGACUAAAGAAAAGCAAUAAUUAGUGGAGGAAAGUACCUAAAACUUGAGCUUAUAUGUGGUACAGUCCCUAUUAAUGCCCAGCUCAUGUAUAUCAGUUAAUGAUGCUGCAAAUAAAUUGCCAAAAAGAUAGUGUAGACUUUAUUGAAGCUUUUAAAGGACUACUUGGAUGUCUAUACAGAUCCUGUGUUUCUUAGUCUGAAAUCUGGAAAAGUAUUGCUUUUGGUGGAGGGCUAUACAUUCCAUUUUACCAAAGGCAACAGAUGGCGCUGUUCGUUGAAGAAUAAAGGCUGCACAGCUUUCGUGGUCCUCAGCGAAGACAGCAAUAAGUUUGUCAGAACCAAGCUAAGACACUUCAACCAUGAAAAACCAGUCUAUAGACGCCUUCCUUCAGGAAAGUAUGUAAAAGUUUAAAGAAAACUAAAAACAUAUAAUAAUUUAGUUUUCAAGCAAUCAUGUAAUCUAACAGGACGUUACGAAAGGAGGCAUUUAAACUAAUCAUCAAAUAAUCAUAAAUCAUCCAAAAUAUUGUUUUUUUAUAAAACUGGUAUAUAAGAGCGUUUUAUUAACAGUGAGUGUUUGUAAAUUCCAAAAAAGUUCUAGUCGAUUUUAACUUUAAUUAUGUACUUCUUAUUUAUUUAUGAAUCUAGUAAGUAAUUUAUUCGAUAAAUGUAAUAUCAUAAAAUAUCCAUUGCACCACUUUUUAUGUGUUUAAAAAAACGUAGAUUUAGAAUCUUCUGUAGAAAUUGUAAUGCACUAAAAAUAUUUUUAAACAUGUAAACGGCGUGAAAUUAUUAUCACUGACGUCAGUAAGAAGAAAAGAGAAUUUAUCUAAAGAUAGGGAAUAAAAGUGUGAGUUUUUAUAGUAGUUUUACUGUUCGUGACGUUUACGUCACGUCUCGAAUCUGUGAUGUGAUGCAAAAUAAAAUAAUAAUAAUAAGGACUGUAUGCUAUGGCGUCUGAAUCGUUUGGUAAACUGUUGUGGUUAUUGAAAUUAUUUCCACACUUUAAAGGUUUGUAAGGUAGGUAGCGGAUUUUUUCUGCCAGAGACCUUAUAAGUAGUAUACUGUUCACUUACAAUCACUUCAGCAAUAGAUUAUUUAUCUAUAACACCAGUAUUACGAAUGAUGCAUGUUUUCUUUUGUCUCAACAGCUUUAACAGAACAUAAACGUGUUGUCGGUGGUAUAUUUCAAGUUCCGCCUGGGAGGAAGGUGCUAGUUCUCAGAGAUUUUCUUUACGAUGAAGAUCAUACGUGGCCAGGGGAAGCUGUCAAGUGGAAAUGUUCUUCUAAAGGAUCACAAUGUCCUGCUUUCAUUCUCAUGAAAGAUAUCAAUAAAGUCCUGAAGGAUUUUGCUGUGCACAACCAUGAACCAACAGUUACCAGAGAAGGAAAGAAAAUUAAGUUUAAAGUUAGAGGAGAGAAGAAGAGAGAGAAAUAAGUGCUCCUUAACGGUGAUAUGUAAGCCAGGGUACUAAGCUUGUUAACUAAAGUGUAACGUGAAACUUAAAUAAGACGAGAGACAGUGACUUAUUGGUAGUAGAUAUUGAAUAAGUUCUGAAAAUAGACGGAAAAAAUGUACUGAAAUUAUAAAAAGGGAUUUUACCCAUUUUAAUGUUGUAAUCUUAGCUCAGCCAUAAAUGAUCUCACUGCUGUAUCGUUUUUCUUUAAGAGUUUUUAAGAUUGUUAAUUUACUUGUAGUUUCAUCUAAGUAGUUUUUUGUUACUCUGUAUGUUAACUGUUAAGUUUAAUACUUGUUAAUUGUUAGAAAUUGUUAAUUGAUAGCAACUUUUUGCAGUCAUUGUAUCUUGUCAACCUUUAUUGAAGAUUGUAAAUGAGAGUACUUAAGUUGUUAUGACAACUUUGCUCAAAUAUGUUCAUGUUUUAACGUAUUUCGAGAGACUGUCAUAUUUAAUUAAUAACCUAGAUAAAAUGUUUUCAAAUUAUAUAUUUUGUUGUUCCUAUCCAUAUAUUUAUCCUGUUUAAACUGAAUGACAAUUAUAGAUGCACUUUAAAAGUGUUUUUUUUUGUCAAUAUAUAACUUUAGGACGUUAUUAAAACAGCUAUGUUAUGUCUUUUUUAUUGUGAUAAUUGUAGUGUAAAAAGUACAGAUACUGAAAUUUUUGUCGUCUUUUAAUUUCUAUUAUUGCUAAACAACACAAAUGCAAAUAAAACGCAAAUGACACAAAUGUCGUCCAAAUGCUUUCAAGUAUGAGAUUUCCCAGUAAAUCGAUGAACAUAAAUAAUAUAAAUUUUAUUUUAUAUCUGUAAGGUGGCUAAAAUACAAAAAAGGACUGAUUCUCAUUGACCAUACCAUAAUGACUUACUUCAAGGCAUUCAAUAAAAAUAUUCACUCUUUCAGUAUAAGCAUCCUAAUUAAUUAUUAACGACCAAAAACAUUUUAGGAGAGGUCAGCGGAGUUUAGUUGUUCAAAUUCAGACGCUAUUCAUACACCUUCCUUAAAAGAUAUUUAAAUAGGUACAUUUGAGUGUUAUUUGUGCAUAUUUUAAACUGCGUUUGUUUCGAACUCUGAUUAUAAUUCUCAUAGACUUCCUUCUUGGGAAGGCAAAAAGGCACCGAACUCUAACUCUCCGAAAACUUAUUACGUGGGCUAAAAUAGACCAAAAUAUUUCUACCUUCCAUAUGGUCACGUUUUCGCAGAUCCCACAACAAUAAACACUGCCUUUUUUACACGGGGAAAAGAUUUACUCUCUUCACCCUGAGAAAGCGGAGUACAUAUAUGUAUGUUUGCCGUUCUCUUAGCGGGCUAAAACCACCGCAGUGCUUCACUCAUCGACCACGGUAACCAGAUGCAAACUACCGAGAUCCCAAGCAGGGACGCUCCUUUCUAGAGCCGCGACAUCAAAUUGGAGUUGUUCUUCCUUCCGCGUAUUGAGAGGCACGCGGAAACACUGCGCGCUGCCUUUAACCUUCAAUUAAGGGCAGCAUACCUCCCGCGACUACCGCCGAAUGCCAUUUAUGGUGAGCUGACGGAGAGCAUUAUCAGCCCCCCUUCUAAACUCUCUAAAUGCCUCCCAAAACCCCUUAAAAUAAAGUUAAAUAUCCCCAACAAAUCCCCUGAUUUGUCUUUCUCAAAAACGGAAUUUUUAUGUUUAACUUUCUUUUUACAGUUCAAUUCAUAAAGUUGGAAGGAGGAAAAGAAAGUCUGUUUUACCAAGGGCACACCUUUUUCUUGCGCUACAAAACAACCAUUGGGAAUCGCUGGUGCUGCACAUCCUACCCGAAGUGCAAAGCUGGCUUACUCUUGGACUCCAGUCACAAAAUACUUAAAGUCGUCAUGUCUCAUAACCACCCUCCCUGCAAACUGCAUUACUGUGUACAGGCGGGCUAUUACAUUAAGGUGAGAUAGAAGACAGGGAUUCAAGUACUGUCGUGGUUGUUGCGACAAAGAAAGAAUGAGGAUGUGAAACUGCCUGUAGUAAUAGAAUUAAAGAGUCAGUCUAGUGUGUAUGGGUUGGCGAGCGAAAUGCAACGCGGGAAAACCUAGAUAAAGAUCCGUCUUUAAGCUACACUAUCUUCGAAAUUGUUGGGAUAAACUAACAACAGUAACUGUGACUGAGUCCAUGAAUGAUCGACUUAAGCAGCUUGUUAAAAGUGCGAUACAAGAAAAUGAAUGUUUGCAUCAAAUAUAACACUAAUGUGCCGAAAGAUACUACGAAAAAAAACCUCUUAAUUUCGAGUCAUAAGAUUAAGAGCACCUCCGUGUUUGGACACCUGGUGACCUAACUGACGUCUUAGACCGAAAAGGAUCGUAAAAUUCGGAUUGCUUGGUAUAUAAUAACUUGGAUUAUAGGCCAAAGUAAAUGGCUUGCUAUUGCAAGUAAACAGAGCGCUUUCUGGGUUUGAAUAUAAGACAGCUGCUGGCUAGCCUGAGCUAAUAACCUUGACGACUGGAAGAAAAGUGCUACUAUAUCAAGGCUACACUUUCUAUAAAAGGUACCAGAAGAAAG